rnacentral:rRNA from 1 species
CGGGUGAGUAAUGCAUAGGAAUCUACCCAGUAGUGGGGGAUAACGUGGAGAAAUCCACGCUAAUACCGCAUAUGUCCUACGGGACAAAGCAGGGGACCUUCGGGCCUUGCGCUAUUGGAUGAGCCUAUGUCGGAUUAGCUAGUUGGUAGGGUAAAAGCCUACCAAGGCAACGAUCCGUAGCUGGUCUGAGAGGAUGAUCAGCCACACUGGGACUGAGACACGGCCCAG